ACACAUGACAAGUACGAACGGCAGCGACGGGGACAACCGUGGUGGCGAGUGGACGGAACGGGUGAGUAAUACAGUACGGAACGUCGCCCAAGUCGGUGGGGAAUAACGUAGACGAAAGUUACGCUAAUACCGCAUACGAUCUACGGAUGAAAGCGGGGGAUCGCAAGACCUCGCGCGAAUGGAGCGGCCGAUGUCAGAUUAGGUAGUUGGUGGGGUAAAGGCUCACCAAGCCAACGAUCUGUAGCUGGUCUGAGAGGACGACCAGCCACACUGGAACUGAGACACGGUCCAGACUCCUACGGGAGGCAGCAGUGGGGAAUUUUGGACAAUGGGCGCAAGCCUGAUCCAGCCAUUCCGCGUGCAGGAUGAAGGCCUUCGGGUUGUAAACUGCUUUUGUACGGAACGAAACGGCGAGCUCUAAUACAGUUUGCUAAUGACGGUACCGUAAGAAUAAGCACCGGCUAACUACGUG
rnacentral:rRNA from 1 species